rnacentral:tRNA from 1 species
GUCAGGAUGGCCGAGCGGUCUAAGGCGCUGCGUUCAGGUCGCAGUCUCCUCUGGAGGCGUGGGUUCGAAUCCCGAUUCUGACA